rnacentral:rRNA from 1 species
AGGCCUUGACAUCCAAUGAACUUUCUAGAGAUAGCUUAGUGCCUUCGGGAACUCUGAGACAGGUGCUGCAUGGCUGUCGUCAGCUCGUGUUGUGAAAUGUUGGGUUAAGUCCCGCAACGAGCGCAACCCUUAUCCUUUGUUGCCAGCACGUAAUGGUGGGAACUCAAAGGAGACUGCCGGUGAUAAACCGGAGGAAGGUGGGGAUGACGUCAAGUCAUCAUGGCCCUUACGGCCUGGGCUACACACGUGCUACAAUGGUCGGUACAGAGGGUUGCCAAGCCGCGAGGUGGAGCUAAUCUCACAAAACCGAUCGUAGUCCGGAUCGCAGUCUGCAACUCGACUGCGUGAAGUCGGAAUCGCUAGUAAUCGCGAAUCAGAAUGUCGCGGUGAAUACGUUCCC